AGUGGCGGACGGGUGAGUAACGCGUGGGCAACCUGCCUUACACAGGGGGACAACAGUUAGAAAUGACUGCUAAUACCGCAUAAGCGCACGGGAACGCAUGUUUCUGUGUGAAAAACUCCGGUGGUGUAAGAUGGGCCCGCGUUGGAUUAGGUAGUUGGUGAGGUAACGGCUCACCAAGCCGACGAUCCAUAGCCGACCUGAGAGGGUGACCGGCCACAUUGGGACUGAGACACGGCCCAAACUCCUACGGGAGGCAGCAG
rnacentral:rRNA from 1 species